rnacentral:siRNA from 1 species
AUUUCUGGGUUGUCGGGAUUGA